CCUACGGGAGGCAGCAGUGAGGAAUAUUGGUCAAUGGACGAGAGUCUGAACCAGCCAAGUAGCGUGAAGGAUGACUGCCCUAUGGGUUGUAAACUUCUUUUAUAUGGGAAUAAAAUGUUCCACGUGUGGGAUUUUGUAUGUACCAUAUGAAUAAGGAUCGGCUAACUCCGUGCCAGCAGCCGCGGUAAUACGGAGGAUCCGAGCGUUAUCCGGAUUUAUUGGGUUUAAAGGGAGCGUAGGUGGAUUGUUAAGUCAGUUGUGAAAGUUUGCGGCUCAACCGUAAAAUUGCAGUUGAAACUGGCAGUCUUGAGGACAGUAGAGGUGGGCGGAAUUCGUGGUGUAGCGGUGAAAUGCUUAGAUAUCACGAAGAACUCCGAUUGCGAAGGCAGUUCACUGGACUGCAACUGACACUGAGACUCGAAAGUGUGGGUAUCAAACAGGAUUAGAUACCCGAGUAGUC
rnacentral:rRNA from 1 species